AACGCACCUUGCGCCCCUUGGUAUUCCGAGGGGCAUGCCUGUUUGAGUGUCAUUAAAUCCUCAACCGCGCCGAUUGAUUUUCGGUGGGGCUUGGACUUUGGAGCGUGCUGGCGAAGGUCGGCUCCUCUUUAAAUGCAUCAGCGGAAGAAACCUUUGUCUUUCCCGCCUUCGGUGUGAUAAUUGUGUUGCGCCGUGGUGGAACUUCAACGAUCCGCUUACAAUGGUCUUCGGACGAAACCUCAUGUCAUCUUGACCUCAAAUCAGGUAGGACUACCCGCUGAACUUAA
rnacentral:misc_RNA from 2 species